rnacentral:rRNA from 1 species
GUGGGGAAUCUUAGACAAUGGGGGAAACCCUGAUCUAGCCAUGCCGCGUGAGCGAUGAAGGCCUUAGGGUUGUAAAGCUCUUUCAGCUGGGAAGAUAAUGACGGUACCAGCAGAAGAAGCCCCGGCUAACUCCGUGCCAGCAGCCGCGGUAAUACGGAUGGGGCUAGCGUUGUUCGGAAUUACUGGGCGUAAAGCGCGCGUAGGCGGACCAGAAAGUUGGAGGUGAAAUCCCAGGGCUCAACCUUGGAACUGCCUUCAAAACUCCUGGUCUGGAGUUCGAGAGAGGUGAGUGGAAUUCCGAGUGUAGAGGUGAAAUUCGUAGAUAUUCGGAGGAACACCAGUGGCGAAGGCGGCUCACUGGCUCGAUACUGACGCUGGGGUGCGAAAGCGUGGGGAGCAAACAGGAUUAGAAACCCUUGUAGUCC